CUAACUCAAAUUUGUGUGGAGUUAAACGUUUGCCUACGUUUGCCGCUAGGGGCGCUGUUCCAACUGCUUACAAAUUUGAAUUA
rfam:Bombyx mori DNA, contig: Bm_scaf24_contig16472, strain: p50T/Dazao, build 2, whole genome shotgun sequence.